GCUUACGGCCAUAUCAGCCUGGGUACGCCCGAUCUCGUCUGAUCUCGGAAGUUAAGCAGGGUCGGGCCUGGUUAGUACUUGGAUGGGAGACCGCCUGGCAAUACCAGGUGCUGUAAGCA
rnacentral:rRNA from 1 species